rnacentral:rRNA from 1 species
CUACGGGGCGCUCCAGUGAGGAAUUUUGCGCAAUGGGGGAAACCCUGACGCAGCAACGCCGCGUGAGUGAUGAAGGCCUUCGGGUCGUAAAGCUCUGUCAAGUGGGAAGAACCUAUAUAAUGUUAAUAUCAUUAUAUACUGACGGUACCACUGAAGGAAGCACCGGCUAACUCCGUGCCAGCAGCCGCGGUAAUACGGAGGGUGCAAGCGUUAUUCGGAAUUAUUGGGCGUAAAGCGCGCGCAGUCGGCCAGUUAAGUCAGAUGUGAAAGCCCGGGGCUCAACCCCGGAAGUGCAUUUGAAACUAAUUGGCUUGAGUAUGGGAGAGGGAAGUGGAAUUCCUGGUGUAGAGGUGAAAUUCGUAGAUAUCAGGAGGAACACCGGUGGCGAAGGCGACUUCCUGGACCAAUACUGACGCUGAGGCGCGAAGGCGUGGGGAGCAAACAGGAUUAGAUACCCUAGUAGUC